ACGUAAAAAACUAGCACUGGCCAGUGCCAGCGCGCAGGCGCCCGCAAACUCCCAAGCCUAAACGGUUUAAGUUGACAUCUACGAAAUUUUGAAAAGUUAAAUAUGCGGUGGACACCGUAAUCUGUACCUGGUAUGCGAUUGUUAAAGUGUGGAUUCAAGUUGUUUAUUAUCGCAUCUGGUUCAUAGGUAAAAAAUAAUAAUAAAAACUUGUGUUCUUCCCGGGGCUUCCUGGGUCUGAAUAUGAUCUAUUCGUACGUUGUAUAAUGUCUUUCCGGGUUGUCUUUCUCUUUUAAUGUUGGGUCCGGCCUGUAAAACGUCUAUCCUGGGGUCUGUUGUUUUUACUUUUCGUUAGCUCAGGAGAAGCGGCAGAAGCUAGGACCGGGCUAGGGUGGUGGUGGCCCCUGCUUUGGUGAACCCCACUUCCUUACCGAUGUUGUGGCGGCCGUUUGUUGGCCUCCAUCUGGUACCUUUAUGGUCCUGUUUCUUGGUCUAUUUGACGGAGGGUAUACCGAGCCGCCGGUCCUCCUUUAUGUCCUCGGCCUGCAGCAGCGGUCUUGAGGCUCACCAGCGGAAAGCUGGUCGUCUAUGUCGCCACGUCACCGUUCUUUGAGGACCACGAGAGACGUGGUUCUAGGGGUUGGUAAACGACGUCUUGAACCCGAGGUUCCUGUGCGUCUCUCCUAUCUCGUCGGUUUAGGGGAAAGAAGGAGAAGAAGGUUAGGUGGAGGUACCGUCGAGCUCCUCUUCAUUCCUUCUUCCUCGAACUCGAGGUCUAGACUCUCUGGGCGCUCGAAUAACUCUCCCUAAAGCGGUCUAGGUCGCGGAGGAGGGAAGGAGGUGGUACCUCUGCUUCUUCUUCUGUUCUUGCCGUUGGUGGCCGUCGACGAGCGUUCGUGGCCGCCAUCUUUGGGGUUGCCGUAUCGCGGUUUGGUGUUCUGCUGGACUUGAUUUGGUCAUAUAUGUUCGUAGAGGGCCCACGGAGAGGGUUCGGUAGCAGCUAGCCGUAGCGGCUGCCUGCUUCGAGCUCUAGCCCGGCCCCACGAACCUCGCUGAGAGUUUCCCUGCCCACCUCUUCCUCUCUGCCAACGCACCGGCUGAACCUUUGCUUAACAAAAAUAAGUGAUGGUUCAUAGGUAAGGGAACUCGUUAUACUGUGAGACGGAGGCGAACCUAGGAUUAGCGUUCAAUCAACGCAAAUGACUCAGCUUCUCUAC
rnacentral:rRNA from 1 species